AUUGGCAAUGAUGACCCACUUGCCCUCACUGAGAACAAAGUUCAGUAAUGAGAAUCUUCGUUAUGGCCUAAAAUAAACAUAAUAAGUUCAAU